rnacentral:rRNA from 1 species
GAGUUUGAUCAUGGCUCAGAUUGAACGCUGGCGGCAUGCCUUACACAUGCAAGUCGAACGGCAGCAUGAUCUAGCUUGCUAGAUUGAUGGCGAGUGGCGAACGGGUGAGUAAUACAUCGGAACGUGCCCUGUAGUGGGGAGUAACUAGUCGAAAGAUUAGCUAAUACCGCAUACGACCUGAGGGUGAAAGUGGGGACCGCAAGGCCUCAUGCUAUAGGAGCGGCCGAUGUCUGAUUAGCUAGUUGGUGGGUAAAGGCCCACCAAGGCGACGAUCAGUAGCUGGUCUGAGAGGACGAUCAGCCACACUGGGACUGAGACACGGCCCAGACUCCUACGGGAGGCAGCAGUGGGGAAUUUUGGACAAUGGGCGAAAGCCUGAUCCAGCAAUGCCGCGUGUGUGAAGAAGGCCU